GACGUCUGUAGCCCUGGUCUAUUUACCUGUGUUUAUAAGGGCGUCUGUAGCCCUGGUCUAUUUACCUGUGCUUAUAGGGACGUGUGUAGAUGGUCUAUUUACCUGUGUUUAUAGGGGCGUGUGUAGCCCUGGUCUAUUUACCUGUGCUUAUAGGGACGUGUGUAGCCCUGGUCUAUUUACCACUCUUCACUCUUCACAGACAUACAGCCAUGAAACAUAACUAGAUGAACCUUAGUUAAAGUUAGUCUGUGUCUUUAGUUGAACCUUAGUUAAAGUUAGGCUGUGUCUUUAGUUGAACCUUAGUUAAAGUUAGUCUGUGUCUUUAGUUGAACCUUAGUUAAAGUUAGUCUGUGUCUUUAGUUGAACCUUAGUUAAAGUUAGUCUGUGUCUUUAGUUGAACCUUAGUUAAAGUUAGUCUGUGUCUUUAGUUGAACCUUAGUUAAAGUUAGUCUGUGUCUUUAGUUGAACCUUAGUUGGAAGUUAUCUGUGUCUUUCUAACUACCAAAGCUUUGAUUAUAAUCUUCCUUAUAUUUAUCCCGGACAACUUGCAUGUUGCGUAGCGCUUAAGUUACGUGUGCUGAAUACACUCUUGAGUCUUGAGUAGCUACCAACGCAGCACAGUUGCCAUUUUCUUCCACAGAAUUCAAAGCUACUACCUUUAAAGUCAGAGAAC
ensembl:lncRNA